rnacentral:rRNA from 1 species
GGUAUGCACUGGCUUCGCUGAUUCCUCCUUUCUGAAGAACUGUAAUGUCAUUAAUUUGGUGUUGCAGGGAAACAGGACUGUUACUUUGAAAAAAUUAGAGUGUUUAAAGCAGGCUAACGCUUGAAUACAUUAGCAUGGAAUAAUGAAAUAGGACGUUCAAACCUAUUUUGUUGGUUUCUAGGAUUGACGUAAUGAUUAAUAGGGAUAGUUGGGGGCAUUAGUAUUCAAUUGUCAGAGGUGAAAUUCUUGGAUUUAUUGAAGACUAACUACUGCGAAAGCAUUUGCCAAGGAUGUUUUCAUUAAUCAAGAACGAAAGUUAGGGGAUCGAAGACGAUCAGAUACCGUCGUAGUCUUAACCAUAAACUAUGCCGACUAGGGAUCGGAUGAUGUUAAUUUUUUAAUGACUCAUUCGGCGCCUUACG